rnacentral:lncRNA from 1 species
AUGCAUUACUCUUGCCAAUUAACUCUGGAAUAGAAUUACAGCUUGAUGAAGUCAGGGUUGUUAAUCAUCAAGACUGCCCUGAACACCUGGUCAUGCCACCUGCAGAAGGCAAGACACCCAUCAUAAAAGACCACAAGGAUUUAAUAUGCGUUAAGAAGGUCUGACUCCUAUCAGGUUGUCAUGCUCAUAGGCUCUGAAUGAAAACCAUUUUACUUAAACCAUAGUUACAAAGUUUGAAACUGAAAAAAGAAGAGGUCUAUUAUGUGGUCAAGAUAAUGACUCGAGCUGAAGGUGACUCCUGAGGCCAGCUUUCUUCCUUGAGCUGACCUUCUUCUUGAAGCCGACUUCCCUCUUUUGCCUUCAACUUGACCUGGAAGGAGCUCCAGCUUGGGACCUUGGACUGCUCUUCAGUUUUCCCUUAGAACUACCACAUGGAUCUUCAAGAAAGAAGCUUGAAACUCCCAAAUCCAGAGAAUGAAUUGUUGCAGAAAGAUGCCAGAAAACUUACAUUUCAUCAAGAAGAUCAAGAAUGAACUUUGGGUGGAAGCUUUAUGCUACCGGCAUAAGCAUGCAUAGCAUAUGGACCAGAUUGGUCUUAAGGAAAGAGCCC